CAAGAAUUCCUUCCCAGUACCCAAACUAAACCCAGCCCCUUUCAGUGUGAAGCCAUUCCUCCUUGUCCUGUCCCUCCAGGCCCUUGUAAACAGUCUCUCUCCAUGUUUCUUGCAGCUCCUUCAGGUCCUGGAAGGCCACAGUUAGGUCACCCCAAAUCUUCUCUUCUCCAGGUCGAAAGAGAGGUAGAAGAGACUCAGGUUUUAUAACAGUUCUGCCCAGCAUCCAAUGGUUUUAGAGAAAAAUCUGUUGGAAGAGGGGAGGAAUAACUGCACUUGGAAUGACCAGUUGUCAAGGAAUGACCAGUGGAAUUCUCUCUGAGUGUUGGUAGGACACCACCAGCAGGUGUCACAGCACUGGAAACAGGUUGGAUAGGGCUCUGAGCAACCUGACCCCGUGGAGGAUGUUCCUGACCGUGGCAGCGAGGUUGGAAAUGGAUGAACUUUAUGAUCCCUUCCCACCCAAACCAUUCUGGGAUUCUAUAUUCCAUGGAAAUUAGGAAACAAAACCUUGUGGCAAAGCCUUCUUGGAAACACCACCAAAAUCGACGCUUUUAAUUAAAAAGACAAACAGCAAAUUAAAA